rnacentral:rRNA from 1 species
UACGUAGGGGGCAAGCGUUGUCCGGAUUUAUUGAGCGUAAAGAGCGUGUAGGCGGUUAGGUAGGUCCGUUGUGAAAACUCGAGGCUCAACCUCGAGACGCCGAUGGAAACCAUCUAACUAGAGUCCGGAAGAGGAGAAUGGAAUUCCUGGUGUAGCGGUGAAAUGCGCAGAUAUCAGGAAGAACACCCGUGGCUAAGGCGGUUCUCUGGGCCUUACCUGACGCUGAGGAGCGAAAGCAUGGGGAGCGAACAGG